rnacentral:rRNA from 1 species
UGGGGGAAUAUUGCACAAUGGGGGAAACCCUGAUGCAGCGACGCCGCGUGAAGGAAGAAGUAUCUCGGUAUGUAAACUUCUAUCAGCAGGGAAGAUAGUGACGGUACCUGACCUAAGAAGCCCCGGCUAACUACGUCGCC